GAGCGUGUAUUGAGGGGGAGAGCUAGCGAGGAGUUAGCGCGGCGAAGAAAUUGGAUCUCACGAUGUUGUCCAGUCUCUAACACCUGGGCUCAAGCCAUCCACCUAGCUCAGCCUCCUGAGUCUGCAAUGGUGAGAAUCUAAGAUGGAAUCCUGAAAAUCCUAUGCUUUUCAAAAUAUAUUUUGAGUUCCCUUUAACCUAACAUAGAGAUGCCAAGUGGCGCAUUUAGCAGUAGGCUGUGUGUGUCCUCAAGCAAGGAUGGAGUGGCACACUAGAGAGUUUGAAAACGGCUCUUAAUAUUGUCAGAACUAAGUUAACUGAGUUAUUAUCUUAGAGCAGCAGUAGGCAAACUACAACCUGUGAGCCAAAUUUGGCCCACCACCUGUUUUUAUAUAGACCAGGAGAUAAAAUGGUUUCUACAUUUUUUCAAUAGUUGGAAAAAAAGCCUAAAGAAAAAUAAUAUUUUGUA